UACGUAGGGUGCAAGCGUUGUCCGGAUUUAUUGGGCGUAAAGAGCUCGUAGGCGGUGUGUCGCGUCGGCCGUGAAAACCUGCAGCUUAACUGUGGGCUUGCGGUCGAUACGGGCAUCACUGGAGUUCGGCAGGGGAGACUGGAAUUCCUGGUGUAGCGGUGAAAUGCGCAGAUAUCAGGAAGAACACCCGUGGCGAAGGCGGCUCUCUGGGACGGUACUGACGCUGAGACGCGAAAGCGUGGGGAGCGAACAGG
rnacentral:rRNA from 1 species